AGUAAAGUAAGCUAAUUUUUAAGCCUUUGAGCCCAUACCCCAACUAUGUAGGUUUGACCCCUACCUUUACU
rnacentral:tRNA from 1 species